UCACAGCUUGCGCUGGCAGUUUUCCUAGAGUCCCCGGCAUUAUCCGCUGGCAACUAAGAAUAGGGGUUGCGCUCGUUAUAGGACUUAACCUGACACCUCACGGCACGAGCUGACGACAACCAUGCAGCACCUCGCAAAUUGCCCGAAGGAGGGCUGGUUUCCCAGCCUGUCAAAAUGCGUUCAAGCCCUGGUAAGGUUCCUCGCGUAUCAUCGAAUUAAACCACAUGCUCCACCGCUUGUGCGGGCCCCCGUCAAUUCCUUUGAGUUUCAAUCUUGCGAUCGUACUCCCCAGGUGGAUCACUAAACACUUUCGCUUGGUCACUGACAGUAUAUCGCCAAUGACGAGUGAUCAUCGUUUACGGCGUGGACUAC
rnacentral:misc_RNA from 1 species